UACGGAGGGGGCUAGCGUUGUUCGGAAUUACUGGGCGUAAGCGCACGUAGGCGGCUUUGUAAGUUAGAGGUGAAAGCCCGGGGCUCAACCCCGGAAUUGCCUUUAAGACUGCAUCGCUUGAAUCCGGGAGAGGUGAGUGGAAUUCCGAGUGUAGAGGUGAAAUUCGUAGAUAUUCGGAAGAACACCAGUGGCGAAGGCGGCUCACUGGACCGGUAUUGACGCUGAGGUGCGAAAGCGUGGGGAGCAAACAGG
rnacentral:rRNA from 1 species